AAAACUUAAUAAUUUGACGGUGAAUAUUUCCUAAAGGAACUUGUAAUUUAAUCGAUAUUUCACGAACUAUUUCACUUAUAUUUAUCUUGUAUACCUCCGUGUAGAUUUUAUUAAAAAUUUAAUUAUCUAAUAAAUUAUUAUUAAUAUAUCAGGUCAAGGUGCAGUAUAUAUAAGUUAUUAUGUGUUACAUUGAGAAAUUAUAAUUAGAUUUAAUUUGAAAAAAUUAAGGAAAAUGAAUUUAUAAGUAAAAAAAAUUAUAAUAUUUUUUUGAAAGUUAAGUAUUUAUGUACACAU
rnacentral:rRNA from 1 species